rnacentral:rRNA from 1 species
UGCAGUCGGGGGAAUCCCAGCAAUGGGGGAACCGGCGUAAGGGGCAGUAAGGCAUGGGUACCUACCCUGAAGUUCGGGAUAGCCAUCAGAGAUGGUGGGUAAUACCGGAUGAUGUCGUGAGACCAAAGAUUUAUCGCUUUGGGAGGGGCCCAUGUGAUAUUAGCUAGUUGGUGAGGUAACGGCUCACCAAGGCGAAGAUGUCUAGCGGGUAUGAGAGUACGACCCGCGCCACUCGCACUGAGACACCGGCGAGACACCUACGGGUGGCUGCAGUCGAGGAUCUUCGGCAAUGGGCGAAAGCCUGACCGAGCGACGCCGCGUGCGCGAUGAAGGCCUUCGGGUUGUAAAGCGCUUUAGUGGGGGAGAAAAGGGAAACCUUGAUCUAUCCCAAAAAUAAGCUCGGGCUAAGUUCGUGCCAGCAGCCGCGGUAAGACGAACCGAGCGAACGUUGUUCGGAAUCACUGGGCUUAAAGGGUGCGUAGGCGGGCUGUCAAGUCUGGGGUGAAAUCCCUCGGCUCAACCGAGGAACUGCGCCCAAAACUACCGUGCUCGAGGGAGACAGAGGUGAGCGGAACUUAGGGUGGAGCGGUGAAAUGCGUUGAUAUCCUAAGGAACACCUGUGGCGAAAGCGGCUCACUGGGUCUCUUCUGACGCUGAGGCACGAAAGCUAGGGUAGCGAACGGGAUUAGAUACCCCGGUAGUCCUAGCUGUAAACGAUGAGCACUGGGUUGGAGGGUCCUCCAUAGCCUUCCAGCCGCAGCUAACGCAUUAAGCGCCCCGCCUGGGGAGUACGGCCGCAAGGCUAAAACUCAAAUGAAUUGACGGGG